rnacentral:lncRNA from 1 species
UCGCUCAUCAGGAUUGGGGGAUGUUGCGACUCCUGCCAUCUGGAAACUGAAAACUCCAAUAAAAGUUAAAAUUUUUCUUUGGUUAGCCUUAAAAAAAAGACUACCAACUACGGAUAAUCUUCUCAAAAGGGAAUGGUCAGGAAAUAACAGGUGUGUCCUGUGCGCCGUUGAUCUAGAGAUAGUAGAUCACUUGCUGGUGGACUGUGUUGUUAGCAAGUUCUUCUUGAUUUCGCUUCUCGACGACCCCCACAUCUUCCCCUACAUUGAGGACGUCAACAUCGUCUGGGAGGAGUUGUCAGGGAAAGGGUCACAGGUUGAUGAUCUGGCACGAAAGAAACAACGCUAUUUUUCGAAACCUAUAUAUGAACGCUAUUUCUACUGCCCACCGUAUUAGAGUACUGGCGAAAAAGUGAGCUGAUUUUUGUAGAACUGGGUGAGGGCAGCGUUUGUUACGCCUUUCGUUUUUUACACUUUUUUUUCGUUUUUACUCUGCUCGACUUUUUUGUUUUCUUCUUUUUUGUUCUUUUUUGUGCUGACUCUCUGUCUUCUUGAGGCCCUGGCUGCUUCACUCAAUAUAGCUAAAUUCAUUUACUUAAUGAAUGAAGCAAGUAGCGUGCUACCCUUCUCUAUCUCACAAAACAAUACUAAACAAGUCACUAUAAUUAAGUUCUCCACUGUGUUUUUUUCCCCUUUCUUCACUCUAGUGGAAUAGACUUCAUCCCAUGGGAGAGCGACAAAAAUUUUGAUAUUUUGGAUGACUUGAACUUUCGACCGUACUAACAUUACGGUAAAUCAAAUAGCGAAAAUAAUCAAUAUUUAUUGAAAAUUACUUUCCUU